rnacentral:rRNA from 1 species
AGUGAACGCUGGCGGUAGGCCUAACACAUGCAAGUCGAACGGCAGCACAGUAAGAGCUUGCUCUUACGGGUGGCGAGUGGCGGACGGGUGAGGAAUACAUCGGAAUCUACUUUUUCGUGGGGGAUAACGUAGGGAAACUUACGCUAAUACCGCAUACGACCUACGGGUGAAAGCAGGGGAUCUUCGGACCUUGCGCGAUUGAAUGAGCCGAUGUCGGAUUAGCUAGUUGGCGGGGUAAAGGCCCACCAAGGCGACGAUCCGUAGCUGGUCUGAGAGGAUGAUCAGCCACACUGGAACUGAGACACGGUCCAGACUCCUACGGGAGGCAGCAGUGGGGAAUAUUGGACAAUGGGCGCAAGCCUGAUCCAGCCAUACCGCGUGUGUGAAGAAGGCCUUCGGGUUGUAAAGCCCUUUUGUUGGGAAAGAAAAGCAGCAGGUUAAGACCCCGCUGUUCUGACGGUACCCAAAGAAUAAGCACCGGCUAACUUCGUG